GACGAACGCUGGCGGCGUGCCUAAUACAUGCAAGUUGAGCGCUGAAGGUUGGUACUUGUACCGACUGGAUGAGCAGCGAACGGGUGAGUAACGCGUGGGGCAUCUGCCUUUGAGUGGGGGACAACAUCUGGAAACGAAUGCUAAUACCGCAUAAAAACUUUAAACACAAGUUGUAAGUGUGAAAGAUGCAAUUGCAUCACUCAAAGAUGAUCCCGCGUUGUAUUAGCUAGUUGGUGAGGUAAAGGCCCACCAAGGCGAUGAUACAUAGCCGACCUGGGAGGGUGGUCGGCCACAUUGGGACUGGGACACGGCCCAAACUCCUACGGGAGGCAGCAGUAGGGAAUCAUCGGCAAUGGACGAAAGUCUGACCGAGCAACGCCGCGUGGGUGAAGGAGGUUUUCGGGUCGUAAAACUCUGUUGGUAGAGAAAAACGUUGGUGAGAGUAGAAAGCUCAUCAAGUGACGGUACCUACCCAGAAAGCGACGGCUAACUACGUG
rnacentral:rRNA from 1 species